rnacentral:lncRNA from 1 species
UCUUGUUCCAAACCAGUCCAACAUUAGGGUUUUUCCAAAACAGAGCAGUCCACUUGUUUCAGUCACAACUCAGUCAAUUUAACUCAAAAUAGAGCAUGGCUUACGCCGUUGGAAAAUACGUUCAUAGGGGGUAAAAUAUCACAGAAGAAAUCAUUUCCAAAUUCGGCACCAAUCUGGUUCAAAAUCGGGCAUCAAGUUGCUGCCUGAACACUUCAUUCCAGAUGAACAGAGCAACAGGACAGCGAACUUAAAACAUUUGGUUCGGCUUGCUCACAAAGAAUCAGAACGUGCAUUAUAUACCAAAUUAAAGCCAGGAAUUUCUAGUUUCCAACGCCACCAACGGCACAUGAUUUCGACAUCCGAGGACAGAGUUAUAGCCAAAAUACUACCACUGGUCAGAAUCAUACGCGAACAGUUUUCCAGAUUGCUAGUUUCUCAAGCAAAAUUCAUUUGCUCAAUCAAACCUCAAUAUUUUCCAAUGAAAUUUUUCACACAUCUAAUACAUCCUAUAAACAUCUAAUUCAAGCCAUUAAACCA